UCACUUCUGGAUGGACCUGCGGUGCAUUAGCUUGUUGGUGGGGUAAUGGCCUACCAAGGCGAUGAUGCAUAGCCGAGUUGAGAGACUGAUCGGCCACAAUGGGACUGAGACACGGCCCAUACUCCUACGGGAGGCAGCAGUAGGGAAUCUUCCACAAUGGGCGCAAGCCUGAUGGAGCAACACCGCGUGAGUGAAGAAGGGUUUCGGCUCGUAAAGCUCUGUUGUUAAAGAAGAACACGUAUGAGAGUAACUGUUCAUACGUUGACGGUAUUUAACCAGAAAGUCACGGCUAACUACGUGCCAGCAGCCGCGGUAAUACGUAGGUGGCAAGCGUUAUCCGGAUUUAUUGGGCGUAAAGAGAGUGCAGGCGGUUUUCUAAGUCUGAUGUGAAGGCCUUCGGCUUAACCGGAGAAGUGCAUCGGAAACUGGAUAACUUGAGUGCAGAAGAGGAUAGUGGAACUCCAUGUGUAGCGGUGGAAUGCGUAGAUAU
rnacentral:rRNA from 1 species